AACGAACGCUGGCGGCAUGCCUAACACAUGCAAGUCGAACGAAGUCUUCGGACUUAGUGGCGCACGGGUGAGUAACGCGUGGAUAUCUGCCUUUUGGUUCGGAAUAACUCCGGGAAACUGGAGCUAAUACCGGAUGGUUCCUACGGGAUAAAGAUUUAUCGCCAAAAGAUGAGUCCGCGUACGAUUAGCUAGUUGGUGAGGUAAUGGCUCACCAAGGCGACGAUCGUUAGCUGGUCUGAGAGGACGACCAGCCACACUGGGACUGAGACACGGCCCAGACUCCUACGGGAGGCAGCAGUGGGGAAUAUUGGACAAUGGGGGGCAACCCUGAUCCAGCCAUGCCGCGUGAGUGAUGAAGGCCUUCGGGUUGUAAAGCUCUUUUGGUCGGGGACGAUGAUGACGGUACCCGCAGAAUAAGCCCCGGCUAACUUCGUGCCAGCAGCCGCGGUAAU
rnacentral:rRNA from 1 species